rnacentral:lncRNA from 1 species
AGGACAUGUCGCAACUAACAAUUUAUGAAAAAUUAUUUGUCGAUAUGUCAUACGGUAAUUGAAAAUAAGUGAAAAUAAGCCAAAAUCAAAAUUUAAAAUAUGACCUUGACCUUUGACCUUUGACUUAUUUUCAUUUUUUUGGACCAAGGACCUCAAAUCCGAAAACCCUAGGCCUCUAUCGCUUAUGGUUUACCAGUUAGAAAUGCAAAUCACUUAUACCAAAUACAUAAGGGGGAAUAACUCUCAUAUGGAGUCUCCAUAUAGCUUCGGUAUAAACAGCCAACCUAAUCCUGAAGAUGUAACGAGCAAUUUAGUAAAAUAAAUUUGUCAUAAUGUUUUGGUUGCGGGAAGGUGGCCACAAGAAAAACAGUGUUUGGGGAGACAACUCUUACAACGUAAAGUAUUUGGUUACGCGGUUGUCAGUUUUUGAAGCGUAUAAACUAUGCGAUAUCAUCUUCCAAAAAUCUAAGCGACAACUUAUGAAACAACCAUACUACGCAAGAAAAAAAUUUGGCGGAAGAAAAAAAAAUAUAAUCAGAACAAAACCUAUUGGUCUUUCCACGGAAAGGUGGAAAGACCUAAUAAUAAUCAGAACAAAAUCAAUAC